AUUGAACGCUGGCGGCAGGCCUAACACAUGCAAGUCGAACGGUAACAGGAAGCAGCUUGCUGCUUCGCUGACGAGUGGCGGACGGGUGAGUAAUGUCUGGGAAACUGCCUGAUGGAGGGGGAUAACUACUGGAAACGGUAGCUAAUACCGCAUAACGUCGCAAGACCAAGAGGGGGACCUUCGGGCCUCUUGCCAUCGGAUGUGCCCAGAUGGGAUUAGCUAGUAGGUGGGGUAACGGCUCACCUAGGCGACGAUCCCUAGCUGGUCUGAGAGGAUGACCAGCCACACUGGAACUGAGACACGGUCCAGACUCCUACGGGAGGCAGCAGUGGGGAAUAUUGCACAAUGGGCGCAAGCCUGAUGCAGCCAUGCCGCGUGUAUGAAGAGGGCCUUCGGGUUGUAAAGUACUUUCAGCGGGGAGGAAGGCGAUAAGGUUAAUAACCUUGUCGAUUGACGUUACCCGCAGAAGAAGCACCGGCUAACUCCGUGCCAGCCGCCGCCGUAA
rnacentral:rRNA from 1 species